rnacentral:tRNA from 1 species
UUAAGAGUGCCAGAUUUAAUGGAUUUGAUUUAGGAUUAAAUAAUGGCUAUUUUGCCCUCUUGCG